rnacentral:rRNA from 1 species
GACGAACGCCGGCGGCGUGCCUAACACAUGCAAGUCGAACGAGAAGUUAACAACUGAAUCUUCGGAAGAAGUUGUUAAUGGAAAGUGGCGGACGGGUGAGUAACACGUGAGCAACCUGCCCUAUACAGAGGGAUAGCCCCGGGAAACUGGGAUUAAUACCUCAUAAUACUAAAGUGUCGCAUGACAAAUUAGUCAAAACUCCGGUGGUAUAGGAUGGGCUCGCGUCCCAUUAGCUAGUUGGUAAGGUAAAAGCUUACCAAGGCGACGAUGGGUAGCCGGCCUGAGAGGGUGAACGGCCACACUGGAACUGAGACACGGUCCAGACUCCUACGGGAGGCAGCAGUGGGGAAUAUUGCACAAUGGGGGAAACCCUGAUGCAGCGACGCCGCGUGAGCGAAGAAGGCUUUCGAGUCGUAAAGCUCUGUCCUAAGAGAAGAAAGAAAUGACGGUAUCUUAGGAGGAAGCCCCGGCUAACUACGUGCCAGCAGCCGCGGUAAUACGUAGGGGGCGAGCGUUGUCCGGAAUCACUGGGCGUAAAGGGUGCGUAGGCGGUUAUAUAAGUCAGGUGUAAAAGGCAUUGGCUCAACCAAUGUAAGCACUUGAAACUGU